GAGCUUUGCUCCAGACGUCAUCCUGGGUGACACAGGACGGGGAGAGAGGAUGUGUAGUUUUACGGGGCCCCACUGAGGUUCUGAGUGUCCCUGCUUUAAUGGAGGAGAGCUGAAAACUGACCUGAGCUGGAAAGAACCUAGAGCCAGGUCCCCAAGAUGACCCCUGCCGUUCUCCCACUUCGAGUGGACCUACUCUGCGUGAGAAUCGUGUAUCGGAAGCUGAAGACAUCGUGCAGGUCUUUCAGUUGCCUGACGGAUUUCACCAACGUCUGUAAAGGAGACGCAACCCCAAUAAAGGCGGCUUCUGAAGGGGCAGAAGAACUGAAUCCUCUCCACCCAACACUUGCCACCACCGCCCACCUCAACCACAGUCUGUAAAUCCAGGAUUCGGGUUUCAAUCUCCAGCUGCUGGCUUCUCGCAGCUGCUUCAGGAGCCGGCCCGGCUGGCACCUGAAACAAGGGGCUCUGAAUAUGUUCGAACUCUGGCUUUCUUUUCCGAGACAAGGUUUCACUAUGCUGCCCUGGCAGUCCAGGAACUUGCUCUGUAGACAGGGCAGACCUCAAACUCACAGAAAUGCCUGCCUCUGCUUCCUGAGCACUGAGGUUAAAGACGUGCACUCCCUUCCCCCUCCCAAGAGGAAUGCUGACUUUUCAUCCCUAAAAUCGGGACUUGAAAUUUUACUGCAGGAUGCAGAGAUAUCCCGGUCGGAGACGAGGUCCCUACGUCCUUUCCGUGGCGUCUGUCCCAGGAGCUUUCAACAUUGCCACCUCCUUACCUCCUGUCCUUACCUCCUGAGCCCUUUGAGCCUGAUUUAAAAUUCUUUUCUCUUCCAGGAGAAGGUUGAAGAUCAUCUCAGCCAACUGGAUAG